UGCAGUCGAGCGGACCGACGGGAGCUUGCUCCCUUAGGUCAGCGGCGGACGGGUGAGUAACACGUGGGUAACCUGCCUGUAAGACUGGGAUAACUCCGGGAAACCGGGGCUAAUACCGGAUGCUUGAUUGAACCGCAUGGUUCCAUCCUAAAAGGGGGCUUUUAACUACCACUUUCCGAUGGACCCCCGGCCCAAUAACUAAUUGGUGAAGUAACGGCUCACCCAGGGCACCAAGCCUAACCCAACUGAAAAGGUGAUCCGCCCCCCUGGGACUGAAACCCCGCCCAAACUCCUACCGGAAGCAACAAUAAGGAAUCCUCCGCAAUGGACCAAAGUCUGACCGAACAACGCCGCGUGAAUGAUGAAGGUUUUCCGAACCUAAAACUCUGUUGUUAAGGAAGAACAAGUACCGUUCGAAUAGGGCGGGACCUUGACGGUACCUAACCAGAAAGCCACGGCUAACUACGUGCCAGCAGCCGCGGUAAUACGUAGGUGGCAAGCGUUGUCCGGAAUUAUUGGGCGUAAAGCGCGCGCAGGCGGUUUCUUAAGUCUGAUGUGAAAGCCCCCGGCUCAACCGGGGAGGGUCAUUGGAAACUGGGGAACUUGAGUGCAGAAGAGGAGAGUGGAAUUCCACGUGUAGCGGUGAAAUGCGUAGAGAUGUGGAGGAACACCAGUGGCGAAGGCGACUCUCUGGUCUGUAACUGACGCUGAGGCGCGAAAGCGUGGGGAGCGAACAGGAUUAGAUACCCUGGUAGUCCACGCCGUAAACGAUGAGUGCUAAGUGUUAGAGGGUUUCCGCCCUUUAGUGCUGCAGCAAACGCAUUAAGCACUCCGCCUGGGGAGUACGGUCGCAAGACUGAAACUCAAAGGAAUUGACGGGGGCCCGCACAAGCGGUGGAGCAUGUGGUUUAAUUCGAAGCAACGCGAAGAACCUUACCAGGUCUUGACAUCCUCUGACAACCCUAGAGAUAGGGCUUCCCCUUCGGGGGCAGAGUGACAGGUGGUGCAUGGUUGUCGUCAGCUCGUGUCGUGAGAUGUUGGGUUAAGUCCCGCAACGAGCGCAACCCUUGAUCUUAGUUGCCAGCAUUCAGUUGGGCACUCUAAGGUGACUGCCGGUGACAAACCGGAGGAAGGUGGGGAUGACGUCAAAUCAUCAUGCCCCUUAUGACCUGGGCUACACACGUGCUACAAUGGGCAGAACAAAGGGCAGCGAAGCCGCGAGGCUAAGCCAAUCCCACAAAUCUGUUCUCAGUUCGGAUCGCAGUCUGCAACUCGACUGCGUGAAGCUGGAAUCGCUAGUAAUCGCGGAUCAGCAUGCCGCGGUGAAUACGUUCCCGGGCCUUGUACACACCGCCCGUCACACCACGAGAGUUUGUAACACCCGAAGUCGGUGAGGUAACCUUUGGAGC
rnacentral:rRNA from 1 species